rnacentral:sRNA from 1 species
AUUUUAAAUUAUAUUUUGAUUCUGUAAAAAGUAUUUAUGGGUCCGCCGCAUAGGUAGACCCAAAGAAGAUUAAAGGAGGUCAAUUGGUCCCCAAAGUUCAACAUUUGCAUUAUAACCCUUUAAAGUCUUUUAAAA